rnacentral:rRNA from 1 species
GACAGAGGAGCCAAGCGUUGUCCGGAUUGACUGGGCGUAAAGCGCACGCAGGCGGAUGCGCGCGUGGGGUGUGAAAUCUGGCCGCUUAACGGCCAGGCGCCAUCCCAUACGGCGCGUCUGGAGUGAUGCAGAGGUCGAUGGAAUUGCCGGUGUAGUGGUGAAAUGCGUAGAGAUCGGCAGGAACACCCAGGGGGAAACCAGCCGACUGGGCAUUUGCUGACGCUGAGGUGCGAGAGCGUGGGGAGCGAACCGG